GACGAACGCUGGCGGCGUGCCUAAUACAUGCAAGUUGAGCGAUGAAGAUUGGUGCUUGCACCAAUUUGAAGAGCAGCGAACGGGUGAGUAACGCGUGGGGAAUCUGCCUUUGAGCGGGGGACAACAUUUGGAAACGAAUGCUAAUACCGCAUAACAACUUUAAACAUAAGUUUUAAGUUUGAAAGAUGCAAUUGCAUCACUCAAAGAUGAUCCCGCGUUGUAUUAGCUAGUUGGUGAGGUAAAGGCUCACCAAGGCGAUGAUACAUAGCCGACCUGAGAGGGUGAUCGGCCACAUUGGGACUGAGACACGGCCCAAACUCAUACGGGAGGCAGCAGUAGGGAAUCUUCGGCAAUGGACGAAAGUCUGACCGAGCAACGCCGAGUGAGUGAAGAAGGUUUUCGGAUCGUAAAACUCUGUUGGUAGAGAAGAACGUUGGUGAGAGUGGAAAGCUCAUCAAGUGACGGUAACUACCCAGAAAGGGACGGCUAACUACGUG
rnacentral:rRNA from 1 species